UACAGAGGUCUCAAGCGUUGUUCGGAUUCAUUGGGCGUAAAGGGUGCGCAGGCGGCGAGGCAAGUCGGACGUGAAAUCCCGGGGCUUAACCCCGGAACUGCGUUCGAUACUGCUUUGCUUGAGGACUGGAGAGGAGACUGGAAUUCCUGGUGUAGCAGUGAAAUGCGUAGAUAUCAGGAGGAAUACCGGUGGCGAAGGCGGCAUCCUGGACCGACAUUGACGCUGAGGCGCGAAAGCUAGGGGAGCAAACGGG
rnacentral:rRNA from 1 species